GACGAACCGUGCGAACGUUGUUCGGAAUCACUGGGCUUAAAGGGUGCGUAGGCGGUUCCAUAAGUCAGUGGGGAAAUACGGCAGCUCAACUGUCGAGGUGCCAUUGAUACUGCGGAACUUGAGUACUGAUGAGGUAGGCGGAAUUGACGGCGUAGCGGUGAAAUGCUUAGAUAUCGUCAAGAACACCGAUAGCGAAGGCAGCUUACCAAGCAGUAACUGACGCUCAGGCACGAAAGUGCGGGGAUCAAACAGG
rnacentral:rRNA from 1 species